GAUAUUCCAAAGUUGUAACAAGCCCUCUUUCGGUUAUAAAAUCUCAAAAUGCUAGUCCACCUCCCAAAAUGCACACCCAAGGCCCCUUAACUACACUCUAACUCGGGAAUUUCAUAAGAAACAACAAUGCAAACAAGGUGUGGGAGGCAUCCACGAGUUGACCUCUAAAGAAGAGAAUUUUUUUUUUUUUUUAGAAGUUUUGGGGUAGUUUUUGUUCUCCCCCUUUUUUAUGCUCUUCUUUUUUUUUCAAUUUUCAAUGCCCUCGCCUCUUUUAACUGUGAGCGGCUCUUUCUUUAUUGAGAACGUGUGGCUUAUUACGCCACUUAUUACACAUGAUACAAGUAGAACCAAUUCCCUAAUAGAGUUUCAUUUCGGGGAGGAAAGGGGACACAUCAAGGGCACAAGGGACCACAAAUUUAUUCAAACAUAUCCUACUUGAGCAAAUUAGACAAUAUCUUAUACUAGGCGUGCAAUUGAGCAUUCAUUGGCUUUCAUUUCAUAUACUCCAAUGCAAUCAAGAUUAAUAGACCUCUAAAUGACCCCCAACUCGUGCACACACUCUUCUAAAAAAAAA